rnacentral:telomerase_RNA from 1 species
UCUUUCGGUUCUUGGCCACCGGCGGAGCAACAUGUUGCUUCGCCUCUAACCCUAACCAUUGAUCCCUCCUCAACAUUCCCAGUUGUUUUUCAAGGUUUGCUUUCAACAGGGGUUGAGGGAGCGGCUGGGAAAACAAAACAAAAAAGCGAACCCAGUGGCCAGGAAUCGGAAGAAAAUGUUGUCAGAAAGUCUUGCACUUCUGACUGCAACUGGACGAACUUGUCGGCAGUCCACCGACUCAGAGUAACAUUGCUUCAGCGAGCACUUUCGUGGGGAAACUCCGCAGUGCGUGGAAUUCGCCUCCGUGCUUCGUAGCAUACACAC